UACGUAGGGUGCAAGCGUUGUCCGGAAUUAUUGGGCGUAAAGAGCUCGUAGGCGGUCUGUUGCGUCGGCUGUGAAAACCCGAGGCUCAACCUCGGGCCUGCAGCCGAUACGGGCAGACUAGAGUUCGGCAGGGGAGACUGGAAUUCCUGGUGUAGCGGUGAAAUGCGCAGAUAUCAGGAGGAACACCGGUGGCGAAGGCGGGUCUCUGGGCAGUAACUGACGCUGAGGAGCGAAAGCGUGGGGAGCGAACAGG
rnacentral:rRNA from 1 species